rnacentral:rRNA from 1 species
GACGACGUCAAGUCAUCAUGGCCUUUAUAUCCAGGGCUACACACGUGCUACAAUGGCCGGCACAAAGGGAUGCAAUCUCGCGAGAAGGAGCUAAUCCCAAAAAACCGGCCUCAGUUCGGAUCGCAGUCUGCAACUCGACUGCGUGAAGCUGGAAUCGCUAGUAAUCGCGGAUCAGCAUGCCGCGGUGAAUACGUUCCCGGGCCUUGUACACACCGCCCGUCACACCAUGGGAGUCGGUUGUACCGGAAGUGAGUGGGCCAACCCGCAAGGGAGGCAGCUUCCCAGGGUACGACUGGUAACCGGGGUGAAGUCGUAACAAGGUAGCCGUAGGGGAACCUGCGGCUGGAUCACCUCCUUAGACUUUGAUCCUGGCUCAGAGUCUGCGGCUGGAUCUACCUCCUUAAUCGGAUCCCGGGCCCGUCGCACUGCUA